rnacentral:rRNA from 1 species
AUACGUAGGGAGCGAGCGUUGUCCGGAAUUACUGGGUGUAAAGGGAGCGUAGGCGGGAGUGCAAGUCAGAUGUGAAAUACAUGGGCUCAACCCAUGGGCUGCAUUUGAAACUGCAUUUCUUGAGUGAAGUAGAGGUAAGCGGAAUUCCUGGUGUAGCGGUGAAAUGCGUAGAUAUCAGGAGGAACACCGGUGGCGAAGGCGGCUUACUGGGCUUUUACUGACGCUGAGGCUCGAAAGCGUGGGGAGCAAACAGGAUUAGAUACCCUGGUAGUCCACGCUGUAAACGAUGAUUACUAGGUGUGGGGGGACUGACCCCUUCCGCGCCGCAGUUAACACAAUAAGUAAUCCACCUGGGGAGUACGGCCGCAAGGUUGAAACUCAAAUGAAUUGACGGGG